rnacentral:rRNA from 1 species
AGCUUGACACUGAACACUGGUCCUUGAUGUGUAGGAUAGGUGGGAGGCUUUGAAGUGUGGACGCCAGUCUGCAUGGAGCCAUCCUUGAAAUACCACCCUUUAAUGGCUGGUGUUCUAACGUGGGCCCCUAAUCGGGGUUGCGGACAGUGUCUGGUGGGUAGUUUGACUGGGGCGGUCUCCU